rnacentral:rRNA from 1 species
UACGUAGGAGACGAGCGUUGUCCGGAGUUACUGGGCGUAAAGGGUGCGCAGGCGGCCUGGCGCGUCGCGAGUGAAAUCGCCUGGCUCAACUGGGAGGGUGGUCGCGAGACGGCUGGGCUUGAGGCUCGGUGAGGGGCGUGGAAUUCCGGGUGGAGCGGUGAAAUGCGUAGAGAUCCGGAGGAACACCGACGGCGUAGGCAGCGCCCUAGACGAGACCUGACGCUCAGGCACGAAAGCGCGGGGAGCGAACAGG